rnacentral:rRNA from 1 species
AUUGAACGCUGGCGGCAGGCCUAACACAUGCAAGUCGAACGAGUGGCGGACGGGUGAGUAAUGUCUGGGAACCUGCCUGAUGGCGGGGGAUAACUACUGGAAACGUUAGCUAAUCCCGCAUACCAUCUGAUGUGCCCAUAUGGGAUUAGCUAGUAGGUGGGGUAAAGGCUCACCUAGGCGACGAUCCCUAGCUGGUCUGAGAGGAUGACCAGCAACACUGGAACUGAGACACGGUCCAGAAUCCUACGGGAGGCAGCAGGGGGGAAUAUGGAACAAUGGGCGAAAGCAUGAUGCAGCCAUGCCGCGUGUAUGAAGAAGGCCUUCGGGUUGUAAAGUACUUUCAGCGGGGAGGCGUUACCCGCAGAAGAAGCACCGGCUAACUCCGUGCCAGCAGCCGCGGUAAUAC